rnacentral:rRNA from 1 species
UUGAUCCUGGCUCAGGACGAACGCUGGCGGCGCGCCUAACACAUGCAAGUCGAACGGGAACUGUCCGGAGCUUGCUUCGGACGGUUUCAGUGGCGGACGGGUGAGUAACGCGUGAGGAACCUGCCUUUCAGAGGGGGAUAACGUCCGGAAACGGACGCUAAUACCGCAUGACAUCCCGGGAUCACAUGGUUCUGGGAUCAAAGGAGCAAUCCGCUGGAAGAUGGACUCGCGUCCGAUUAGCCGGUUGGUGAGGUAACGGCCCACCAAAGCUGCGAUCGGUAGCCGGACUGAGAGGUUGAACGGCCACAUUGGGACCUGGAGGAGACCACGGCCAGACUCCUUACGGGAGGCAGCAGUGGGGGAAUCUGGCACAAUGGAGGGAACUCUGAUGCAGCGACGCCGCGUGAGGGAAGACGGUUUUCGGAUUGUAAACCUCUGUCCCCGGUGACGAUAAUGACGGUAGCCGAGGAGGAAGCUCCGGCUAACUACGUGCCAGCAGCCGCGGUAAUACGUAGGGAGCGAGCGUUGUCCGGGAUUUACUGGGUGUAAAGGGUGCGUAGGCGGCUGAACAAGUCAGGUGUGAAAACCAUCGGCUCAACUGAUGGAUUGCACUUGAAACUGUGCAGCUUGAGUGAAGCAGAGGCAGGCGGAAUUCCCGGUGUAGCGGUGAAAUGCGUAGAGAUCGGGAGGAACACCAGUGGCGAAGGCGGCCUGCUGGGCUUUAACUGACGCUGAGGCACGAAAGCAUGGGUAGCAAACAGGAUUAGAUACCCUGGUAGUCCAUGCCGUAGACGAUGAUUACUAGGUGUGGGUGGUCUGACCCCAUCCGUGCCGGAGUUAACACAAUAAGUAAUCCACCUGGGGAGUACGGCCGCAAGGUUGAAACUCAAAGGAAUUGACGGGGGCCCGCACAAGCAGUGGAGUAUGUGGUUUAAUUCGAAGCAACGCGAAGAGCCUUACCAGGUCUUAACAUCUACCGGGAUCCCGCGGAGACGCGGGGGUGCCCUUUCGGGGAGCGGCAAGACAGGUGGUGCAUGUUGUCGUCAGCUCGUGUCGUGAGAUGUUGGGUUAAGUCCCGCAACGAGCGCAACCAUUGUGAUUAGUGCUACGCAAGAGCACUCUAAUCAGACUGCCGUUGACAAACGGAGGAAGGUGGGGCAUGAACGUUCAAUCCAUUCAUGCCCCUUAUGACCUGGGCUACACACGUACUACAAUGGCCGCGCACAGAGGGAAGCGAAACCGCGAGGCGGAGCGAACCCCCAAAAACGGUCUCAGUUCGGAUCGCAGGCUGCACCCGCCUGCGUGAAGCUGGAAUUGCUAGUAAUCGCGGAUCAUCAUGCCGCGGUGAAUACGUUCCCGGGCCUUGUACACACCGCCCGUCACACCAUGGGAGC